rnacentral:tRNA from 2 species
GGCCCCGUCGUCCAGCCGGCCUAGGACGCUGGCCUUUCAAGCCAGAAACGCGGGUUCGAAUCCCGUCGGGGCCA